CUAGGAAUUAUGCACAAUGGACGCAAGUCUGAUGCUGCGACGUCGCGUGGAGGAUGAAGGUCUUAGGAUCGUAAACUCCUUUUAUUGGGGAACAAGUUCUGAGUGUACCCAAUGAAUAAGUGCCUGCCAACCACGUGCCAGAAGCAUCGGUAAUACGUGGGGCACAAGCGUUAUCCGGAUUUACUGGGCGUAAAGAGAUGCGUAGGCGUCUAUUUAAGUUUUCUGUUAAAUCUAUCGAUUCAAUCGAUAAACCGCAGGAGAUACUGGAUAGAUUGAGUAAGGUAGGGAAGAAGGGAAUUCCUGGUGGAGAGGUUAAAUUCGUUGAUAUCAGGAGGAACACCAAUAGCGAAGGCACUUCUUUGGACCUUUACUGACGCUAAGGCUCGAAAGCGUGGGGAGC
rnacentral:rRNA from 1 species